UUACACGUACAUGGUUAUUUUGAAAAACCUUCGUUUGUGCCCUUCGCUUACACGCAAACUGAGAAUUCCCCUCUGAAAACGAGUCUUUCUAAAAACUCCGGCCAGAAUGGAGAUUUUUGAAAUCUUCGUUUGCACAUGUGCAUGAAAACUAGGG